GUAGUUGUGGCCGAGUGUUUACGGCGAUGGACUAGAAAUCCAUUGGGACUUUUCCGCGUAGUUUCGAAUUCUAACGACUACG